GGAGGGAUACCGAAGUGGUCAUAACGGGGCGGUCUUGAAAACCGUUAGGGUGCAAGCCCACGCGGGUUCGAAUCCUGCUCCCUCCGCCA
rnacentral:tRNA from 1 species